ACGGCUCAGUAACACGUGGAUAACCUGCCCUUGGGUCCGGCAUAACCCCGGGAAACUGGGGAUAAUUCCGGAUAACGCACAUAUGCUGGAAUGCUUUAUGCGUAAAAUGGAUUCGUCUGCCCAAGGAUGGGUCUGCGGCCUAUCAGGUAGUAGUGGGUGUAAUGUACCUACUAGCCUACAACGGGUACGGGUUGUGAGAGCAAGAGCCCGGAGAUGGAUUCUGAGACAUGAAUCCAGGCCCUACGGGGCGCAGCAGGCGCGAAAACUUUACAAUGCGGGAAACCGUGAUAAGGGGACACCGAGUGCCAGCAUCAUAUGCUGGCUGUCCAGGUGUGUAAAAUACACCUGUCAGCAAGGGCCGGGCAAGACCGGUGCCAGCCGCCGCGGUAACACCGGCGGCCCGAGUGGUGAUCGUGAUUAUUGGGUCUAAAGGGUCCGUAGCCGGUUUGGUCAGUCCUCCGGGAAAUCUGACGGCUCAACCGUUAGGCUUUCGGGGGAUACUGCCAGGCUUGGAACCGGGAGAGGUAAGAGGUACUACAGGGGUAGGAGUGAAAUCUUGUAAUCCCUGUGGGACCACCUGUGGCGAAGGCGUCUUACCAGAACGGGUUCGACGGUGAGGGACGAAAGCUGGGGGCACGAACCGGAUUAGAUACCCGGGUAGUCCCAGCCGUAAACGAUGCUCGCUAGGUGUCAGGCAUGGCGCGACCGUGUCUGGUGCCGCAGGGAAGCCGUGAAGCGAGCCACCUGGGAAGUACGGCCGCAAGGCUGAAACUUAAAGGAAUUGGCGGGGGAG
rnacentral:rRNA from 1 species